AACGCACCUUGCGCCCCCCGGUAUUCCGGAGGGCACGCCUGUUUGAGUAUCAUGAAAUUCUCUCAACAAAAAUCUGCUUUGACCGGCGGACGCUUGUUGGACUUGGACGUACUCGAUUGCUGGUGACUUUUUUUUUUUUUUCAGUCUCAGCUCGUCCGAAAUGCAUUAGCCUUUGGAAACUCCCUCGAAUGCUUACGGCGUGAUAAUUUCACUAUUCGCCCAUGAAGAUCGCGAGGGUUAAUAACUGGGGCUUCUAAUCUCAGUCAAUGAACUGAAAAACUACUUUCAUGAAUCAUCUGAUCUCAAAUCAGGUGGGACUACCCGCUGAACUUAA
rnacentral:misc_RNA from 1 species